rnacentral:lncRNA from 1 species
UUUAAUUAUGCUCGAUUCAUAUCUUAAUUUAGAAGUCUGUACGAAAAUUCUGCUGAACAUUAAUGAUUGGCGUAAUAGUAUCAAUUAUGCCCUUGAUUCUGCCGAGGACUUCCGUCGCUAUCUGGAUUCUCUAGAGGGGGGAAAAAUGAGGUAAACUCAGCGUUGCCUUCCUCCAUUCAGCCGAAGAGGCACCAACCCAGCACGAACAAAAAGGGGAAGUCCCUACUUCCUUUGCGCCUCACCAGGCAGAAGAAGAAAAAAGGCUAAAAGUCAACCUUCGAAAAGAUGAAAGCAUUCGAUCUAUCAGGCUCGUUAAGUAAUCAGUCAUUCAGCUGAAUUCGAUAUAUGAUAACAGGGAAAGACAGUUUCAGUUGCUUUUCCUGAACUGGGAGUUUGAUUUUCUGUCAGUGCAUAUGUUGAUUAACUCAUCAUUUCUCUUUGCAGUUGAAUUAUUUAGUUUCGGAAAGUAGACAACGUGAAAUAGUCGAUCCACACUGUGAAGGGGUACAAGCAGAAAGUCUCGACACCUUGCUUUCAAUCGCCAACCAAUGUGUUUCUUCUGGUCCCGAUGAUCGUCCCACGAUGCACAGAGUAGUUCAAAUACUUGAAUCUGAGAUCACAACCCCGUGCCCUAGCGACUUCUAUGAUUCAAACUCGGAGUGAAGGCUUAAUUGUGAAAUGAAGAGAGGCGAUAUCUUUGCUAUUAUCAUCCGCUGCUUCGUGCAGCAAAAUGCAGGAUCAACACAAGAACAGAAGGGGCAUGGAAUCUGCAUAAUUCAUCCCCGACUUAUUUAUUCAUUCAUUCUGCAAAAUCUCGACAACAUAUGCCCACGCUGCUCGGCAGCCAUUCGUUUUUCUUUGUCCAGUAAAUGAAAUUAUUUGUUUUACCACACCAUUUGCCCCCUUGUUUCUGCCUUGUAUUUCCUCUUUGUAAUUACUCUACUCAAUUGUAUACAAAAAUGGUUAUGUCCUUGUUAUUGAUUCCAUUUAUUGUAUGACAUAUUUGUGUUGCAUAGUAAUCUUUUCUUAUUCCAUUUCUAUUUGGUCCCAGCUACU